rnacentral:lncRNA from 1 species
UCAGUCUUCAAUGGAUUCUGAAAACUCAAUGCCUUUGUCUCUGUGGAGCUUUUCAAAGAAUCACUUAUGUCUGUGUGCUAAUGAGCAAUGGGGAAAGUCUCAUGAAUUAUUUUUGUCGCCCAAAGCAAACAGUGUCAUUGCCACUGCAGGUGAAAUGAAAAUUGCAAUUCUGGAGGGAGGGGAGGUCACAGAACUCUAACAAGGUUUGAGCUGCCGCUAUUACAACUCCUUUUUAAGAGUCAGGAUCUGCAGAAUGACAGCACCAUCCUACAGAUGCAUGAAGCCUGAGUCUGUUGACUUUCAAGGAUGUGGCCAUUAAUUUCUCCAAGGAGGAAUGGGAAUGCCUGCAUACUUCUCAGAGGAAUUUAUACAGAGAUGUCAUGUUGGAGAAUUAUAGCAACCUGGUUUCUGUAGGCCUUUCUGAAUCAAAACCAGAGCUAGUCACCUGUCUUGAAGAAAACAAAGAACCCUGGAUGGUAAAUAUAGAUGAAGCAGAAGGCUUGGAACAGGGUGUGUUUUGUUAUACAAUUCAGGAGAUGAUCCCAAAAGAGGGUACACAGGAUACUUGUCAGAGAGAAAUGCCAGGAUGUUUAGGAAAUAAUAGCCCUGGGGAAUUAAACAUAAGGAAGUUCUCAGUUUAUAAUUGUAAAGGAUGUGGGAAGUCCUUUAC